rnacentral:rRNA from 1 species
AUUGAACGCUGGCGGCAGGCCUAACACAUGCAAGUCGAACGAGUGGCGGACGGGUGAGUAAUGUCUGGGAGACUGCCUGAUGGAGGGGGAUAACUACUGGAAACGGUAGCUAAUACCGCAUACCAUCAGAUGUGCCCAGAUGGGAUUAGCUAGUUGGUGGGGUAACGGCUCACCAAGGCGACGCUCCCUAGCUGGUCUGAGAGGAUGACCAGCCACACUGGAAUUGAGAAACGGUCCAGACUCCUACGGAGGGCAGCAGGGGGGAAUAUUGCACAGUGGGCGAAAGCCUGAUGCAGCCAUGCCGCGGGUAUGAAGAAGGCCUUCGGAUUGGAAAGCACUUUAAGUUGGGAGGCGUUACCAACAGAAUAAGCACCGGCUAACUUCGUGCCAGCAGCCGCGGUAAUAC